ensembl:lincRNA
AUUCUCUAGUGGAAAUUAUUACUUUGAUAAGUAGAGAAAAAGACCACACUAAAACAAAGCCACGUCAGUGACCACGUGAAAUGACAACUAAUAAUCUGUCCAGAGGUCCAGGGGUAAAAUCCACACCAACGGGGCAGGGCCAGGUCUCGGGUCAUUGGUUGCAAAGAACAUAAAAGGAAAGGAGCAAAGCCAAGCCAAUCUAGACCUCAGGAAACAAAAUCCAACAGGAGGGGAACCGAGGGCUCCUAGCUGAAUGCUGUAAAGGGAGGCAGAGAAAUCUUGGACUGACAGCGUUGAGCCAGUGGAACAGCCAUUUUGCAGACAUUCACAGAAUGCCUGCUGAAAGGCCUUGCAGUAAAUGCUCUCUGGUCAACGAAGAACACUGUGACUGUUUAGAUUACAAAUUAUUGUAGCGAAAGACACAUUGCCAUGAAUCCUCAUCAAAAUACACCCCCCCACACCUUGCACACACUUAGCCCGUAGUUCGUGUCACUUUUUUUUUUUUUUUUUUUUUUUUCUGCUGCAGGCUGGGCUCUCAUUUUUUAUCCUCUUGUUUCAGCCUCCAAGACCACCAGAAUUAUUGCUGUGUGCCGCCAUGCCCAGUCUCACUCUUUUCUUUAUUUUUUCAGCUUUAAUUGAGUUUAUUGGUACAUUUUAGGGAUACAGUGCAGUUACAUUCAUUGUUGGGAUCAUGUACCUCUGCAUGGCAAGUCUUGAUUCUCAUUUUUUCCCCUUACCUCUGCCCUCCCUUCACCCUUUUUUUUUUUUUUUUUUUUUUUUUUGGUACACAGGGAUCGAACUUGGGACCUUGAGCUCAUAAGGCAGGCAGCAGGAGCACAGAGCACGGAGCUAGAUCCCCAGUCGUCGUGUCACCUUCUGAAGCGGUUCUAGCAGCCUCUUCGUGAGUGUCUUUGACAUGGUGGGUGCCGUGCUGUGCAGGCGGAUCAGAAGAGCAGGACGCUGUGUCCUUACCAGGCCCACUCUUGAGCCCACACCAGCUCCUUGGAAAAACCAGCCUCACAGAGCUUCCCACCAAGCGCCAGGACCGAGGGCCAGGAACAGCGUACCCUCUUGUAUGAGCCAACACGAGCAAACCUUCCAGUGACUAUAAUUCCAGCAAAUAACUCAGAGACCAGAACUGUUCCAUUAAACCCAAGCACAAACUGUAACAGUUACUGUGUUCUAUCGCUGUGUGUAAGGUGGUUGUUUAUCCAGGUCAGAUAACCACUAUAACUAGGCCCUACUGUAUCCAUUCGAGUUACCACAAAAGACAUCCAGCAAGUUUGAAAAGAGUUGCCUAAGGUAACUAUUCAAGGAAGAAAAUACAUCGUCAGGAAUGGUAUUUCCUUGUAAGAGGCGAUUGCUACGCAAAGACAAAAGUGACUUAGGAAUUUGUGAGCAGGAUGUGUACAGGGGGACUUUGGGAAAGUUCUGCUAAAUCGGCAGUGAGAAGCUCACCACCAGAUGGAACUGAGUUCUUGGAGGGGCGCGGUAGGCCUAGGAGAGCGGGCAGAGGUAAGAGUGUGAGUGCAGUGCAAGGAAGCAAGAGGGCCUGCUCAUCCGACGGCGUGGCCAGGGCUUUAUGAAGAGACGGGAAAUAAGAAAAGGAGAUUAGCAGGAGGUCCUGAAGCCAAACACGGUAUUUCUUUCACAGUCAGCAGUGACUGUUUUUUUUUUAACAUUUACUGAGUUUUUCCUCAGUGAUUACAAAAAUUACAUGUAAGUAGUAUAAGC